AGACAUACCUGAGAGCUAUGAUGAUGUCACCACCCCUGAACACAACUCUGAUAUCAAAGUGAACACACCAGAGCAUUAUGAUGAUGUCAUCAUUAAUGGACAGGACUCUCAAGGUGUGACAGAGGCAGAUCAGGAGGAGUAUGAUGAUGUGAAGAACAGCAAUGAAGAUGAAAGAAACUUGUUGGACUAUGAUGAUGUGGGGGGAGGAGUCACACAGUGAGGGUGGGGCUGUAUGUAGUGGCCACACCCACUGCUUCAGGUCAUGAAAUUACAAUGUAACAACUUAGGGCUGAGUUUAAAUGAUCUUACAUAGCCACUUCAAGUUUUAAAUGUGUUUUAAUGAGUUCAGUAGUCUGAAUUAUGUUAAAAA